rnacentral:misc_RNA from 1 species
UCCUAGUUAACCUAGGCAGUCUCAUUAGAGUUCCCAUCCGAAAUGUUGGCAACUAAUGACAAGGGUUGCGCUCGUUGCGGGACUUAACCCAACACCUCACGGCACGAGCUGACGACAGCCAUGCAGCACCUGUGCAGAGACCCCGAAGGGAGACUCCAUCUCUGGAGCUGUCCUCUGCAUGUCAAGCCUGGGUAAGGUUCUUCGCGUUGCAUCGAAUUAAACCACAUGCUCCACUGCUUGUGCGGGUCCCCGUCAAUUCUUUUGAGUUUCACCCUUGCGAGCGUACUCCCCAGGCGGUAUACUUAUCGCGUUAGCUACGGCACAACCAGGGUUGAUUCCGGUUACACCUAGUAUACAUCGUUUAUGGUAAGGACUAC